rnacentral:rRNA from 1 species
GACGAACCGUGCGAACGUUAUUCGGAUUCACUGGGCUUAAAGGGCGCGUAGGCGGGCUCGCCAGUCAGGGGUGAAAGCCCACAGCUCAACUGUGGAAGUGCCUUUGAUACUGCGAGUCUCGAGGGAGGUAGGGGCGUGCGGAACUUCCGGUGGAGCGGUGAAAUGCGUAGAUAUCGGAAGGAACACCGGUGGCGAAAGCGGCGCGCUGGACCUCUUCUGACGCUGAGGCGCGAAAGCCAGGGGAGCAAACGGG